rnacentral:rRNA from 1 species
AAAUUGAAGAGUUUGAUCAUGGCUCAGAUUGAACGCUGGCGGCAGGCCUAACACAUGCAAGUCGAGCGGAAACGAGAAUAGCUUGCUAUUCGGCGUCGAGCGGCGGACGGGUGAGUAAUGCCUGGGAAAUUGCCCUGAUGUGGGGGAUAACCAUUGGAAACGAUGGCUAAUACCGCAUAA